ACAAAGAGUUAAUUGGAUUAUGGUGCCCGUGUGGCAUAUUAGAUUUACAGAGCUGCGGCUCGCUUCUGGCUCGUGCUGUAAGGACCCGCCGUCUGUCGCUGCUCCGUGCAUGGCACCGCGCUCGCCCGUCAUGCCCGUGGCUGGUGGUCAUGGACCUGCGCCUGCGAGAUCUACCGCCUGAGACACUACCUUCCUCUGCAUGAAGAAGUUAGCUGAGGAACAGGGGAGAAAGAAACCACAGUACUGAAGCUCAGAGCAUGGCUUUGCUGGAGGCAGAUCGUCACAGACACGGGAAAGGACGAAGCAGCCUUGGGAAGCCCUCCUGUGCUGGCUGCCCAGCCCGGCGUGCGCACCGCUGAGUGCUCCUCUGUCCCUGCCUGGACUCUUCUGGUCUCCAUCUCUCCCCAAACUGGUUUUGUCAGGUGAUGCAGAGCAUUACUAGAGCAAUUGGAAAUGUUCAUCUCGCUGAGUAACCACAGAAACUGGUCCUCGCCGUUCACCAGCCUUGUUGGUCUGGAUUUAGAAGAUAAAAACAAAUGGUGGGAGCGUGGUUCGGAAAGACAAAAGUGCUUCCUUGGUCCGUGGCUUUGCAGCUCUAAAAAAACAAUGAAUCGCAGCGCAUUGCAAGCGAUCGUCCUUCGUUAGGCCUGAUGCUGUCUGGGCAGCGGUGCUGAGCCGCAGUACCCGUGGCAGCUCGGAGCGGUCGGUGGUGUGGGCUUCGGAGCCAGCACAGCGCGUGCUGCACAGACAUGCGGAUUUAUGGGACCCUCCCUGGAACGGCCUUUCGUGCUGCGGCUUGCGCCUGGAAGGUUGUUGGGUCUAAACGCACUGGCUGGUUUAUUUGUUUAAAUAAUGAUUCUAUAUUAAGAAGAAAGCCGAAGCCAUGAAAGCCAUGGGGGUCUGCAGUGCCCUCGCCCCUCCGCCAGCCCCAGCCUGCCUCAAGUGACGGCAGGAGCGGGCUGUCCCUGCCGGGCUGUCUGCGGGCAGGUGUCGUGUCCCCGGGGGAGCCGCUCGGGCUCUCUCUGCGGAUAAAUAACGGCCAGAACACAGCUCUGUUAUUCUGGACUUGGCUCAGUUAUGAGGGGAAGGGGAGCUGCUGGAGUCGAUGCCGUGCGAGCAGAAGGAGCUGCACCCGAGCCAAGGGGUGACACAGCUUCCAGUGUUCAAACCUCGGCUCCCACAGGGACCGAGCCUGCAUUCACACUCGCCUCUAUACACUCCAAUCGUUCUCUGGGCUCACCAUCAAAUCUGGGGUAUAACCAGGAUUUAAAAGGCAAUUUGCUCCUCAUUGCAAUGGAAUUAAAGAUACAUUGUGAGUGUUGUGCGGUAAUGCCCCAGCUGUGCGCCAGGUUCGCUUGGAACAUGACAGUGAAUAAAAUGAAAUAUGAGUUUUAUUGAUCUUGU